GUGGCGUUCCGUCGUUCCCCAUCCUGUGCCGGCGUGUACCGACGGAGACAACGACAUUCCUUCCUUCUUCCCCUCUCUCGUGCGGCGGCAAUGGAGGCCUAGCGACGGUGGCUGCAGCUCGUCAAGCGAGCUUGGGACGGCGCCACAAAAUCGCCCACGAAUUGUUCUUCUAAAUGGAGGGGACCAGUGCAACCUCACCAUCACCAAUCCUUGCAUGCCCGGCCAAUCCGCGUACCGUACCAACUAUCUCAGACUCAGUCAAUAGCUUGGGAAUGACAGAAUUAAGUGAUGCCAACUCUUUUUCAGAGAUUAAUUCUAGGAUGCUUCCUCUUAGUGAAUUCUCUACACCCAAGAAGAGACAAUGCUUUUCGCAAGAUGGCUCAUUGCAUAAACCAGUGUGCGACGAGGCAAUAAAACCAAU